rnacentral:rRNA from 1 species
GAAAAACCCGCACGCCGAAAGCCCAAGGUUUCCUUGCGCAACGUUAAUCGGCGCAGGGUGAGUCGGCCCCUAAGGCGAGGCAGAAAUGCGUAGUCGAUGGGAAGCAGGUUAAUAUUCCUGCACCUCGCGUAAGUGCGAUGGAGGGACGGAGAAGGUUAGGUGUACCAGGCGUUGGUUGUCCUGGGGAAAGGCGGUAGGUUUGAAUCUUUGGCAAAUCCGGGAUUCUUUAAGACCGAGCACCGAGACGAGCCUUUAAGGCGAAGUCACUGAUACCACGCUUCCAGGAAAAGCUCCUAAGCUUCAGCUUACGCAGACCGUACCGUAAACCGACACAGGUGGGUAGGAUGAGAAUUCUCAGGCGCUUGAGAGAACUCGGGUGAAGGAACUAGGCAACAUGGCACCGUAACUUCGGGAGAAGGUGCACCCUUUUUGGUGGCUCAUGCGAGCUAUAGCUGAAGAGGGUCGCAGUAACCAGGCCGCUGCGACUGUUUAUCAAAAACACAGCACUCUGCAAACACGAAAGUGGACGUAUAGGGUGUGACGCCUGCCCGGUGCUGGAAGGUUAAUUGAUGGGGUCAGCCGCAAGGCGAAGCUCUUGAUCGAAGCCCCAGUAAACGGCGGCCGUAACUAUAACGGUCCUAAGGUAGCGAAAUUCCUUGUCGGGUAAGUUCCGACCUGCACGAAUGGCGUAACGACAGCGGCGCUGUCUCCACCCGAGACUCAGUGAAAUUGAAAUCGCUGUGAAGAUGCAGCGUUCCCGUGGCAAGACGGAAAGACCCCGUGAACCUUUACUAUAGCUUUACACUGAACGUUGAGUUCGUCUGUGUAGGAUAGGUGGGAGGCUAUGAAACUGUGGCGCUAGCUGCAGUGGAGCCAUCCUUGAAAUACCACCCUGUCGUGCUUGACGUUCUAACCUAGGUCCAUUAUCUGGAUCGGGGACCGUGUAUGGUGGGUAGUUUGACUGGGGCGGUCUCCUCCUAAAGAGUAACGGAGGAGCUCGAAGGUACGCUCAGCGCGGUCGGACAUCGCGCACUGUGUGCAAAGGCAUAAGCGUGCUUGACUGCAAGAUCGACGGAUCAAGCAGGUAGGAAACUAGGACUUAGUGAUCCGGUGGUUCUGUAUGGAAGGGCCAUCGCUCAACGGAUAAAAGGUACUCCGGGGAUAACAGGCUGAUACCGCCCAAGAGUUCAUAUCGACGGCGGUGUUUGGCACCUCGAUGUCGGCUCAUCACAUCCUGGGGCUGUAGUCGGUCCCAAGGGUAUGGCUGUUCGCCAUUUAAAGUGGUACGCGAGCUGGGUUCAGAACGUCGUGAGACAGUUCGGUCCCUAUCUGCCAUGGGCGUUGGAAGUUUGAGAGGGGCUGCUCCUAGUACGAGAGGACCGGAGUGGACGAACCUCUGGUGUUCCGGUUGUCACGCCAGUGGCAUUGCCGGGUAGCUAUGUUCGGAAGCGAUAACCGCUGAAAGCAUCUAAGCGGGAAGCGCGCCUCAAGAUGAGACUUCCCGGGGCACAAGCCCCCUAAAGGAACCAUAUAGACUAUGUGGUUGAUAGGUCAGGUGUGUAAGUACAGCAAUGUAUUGAGCUAACUGAUACUAAUGAUCCGUGUGGCUUGACC